AUAGUACAGGGACUUUGGUCCGAUUUUGGAGCAACUUCAAAAAUUUGUAAAAAUAUUUUGUUUUGACAGUAAUUAUUCCACAAACAGAAUCAGCUUUCUUUAUUAUUAAUUUAUUGACUUAUUAUUGUUUAGACUAAUGGUGAUGCUAAUGGAGUGUCCACUUCACCAACUGGUGGUACAUCAACUGGUAGAGAAGUGGUUGCUAUUGGAGACUACACAGCUCAAUAUUCUGAUGAACUGACCUUCUCUGAGGGAGAAAUAAUUCAAAUAUUAAAAGAAGUUGAUGAUAACUGGUAUCAUGGUGUGUGUCAGGAUAAAGUUGGUAUAUUUCCAAAGACUUACGUCAGAGAACCUUAACAACAACCAGCUGCUAACAACCAGCUCUACCUGCUCCUCUUCCUCUCUCUUCAUGAUCCUCUCUUGUAGUCAUUAGCUGUUUAUGAGUUAAUCAAUUGUUUUAUUUGACAUCAUUUUAUUUUAUUCACUGACAAUUAUGGUAUUAUUUUAUUUUCUUGCUGUUAUUAUUGUGAUCUAUUACAAUUAUCUAUUCUAUUAUUCAUUGUUGCAUGUGAAGUGUAUUGAAUCUAUUGAUAAUGAAUUCCUGA